rnacentral:rRNA from 1 species
AUUGAACGCUGGCGGCAGGCCUAACACAUGCAAGUCGAGCGGAUGAAGGGAGCUUGCUCCUGGAUUCAGCGGCGGACGGGUGAGUAAUGCCUAGGAAUCUGCCUGGUAGUGGGGGAUAACGUCCGGAAACGGGCGCUAAUACCGCAUACGUCCUGAGGGAGAAAGUGGGGGAUCUUCGGACCUCACGCUAUCAGAUGAGCCUAGGUCGGAUUAGCUAGUUGGUGGGGUAAAGGCCUACCAAGGCGACGAUCCGUAACUGGUCUGAGAGGAGGAUCAGUCACACUGGAACUGAGACACGGUCCAGACUCCUACGGGAGGCAGCAGUGGGGAAUAUUGGACAAUGGGCGAAAGCCUGAUCCAGCCAUGCCGCGUGUGUGAAGAAGGUCUUCGGAUUGUAAAGCACUUUAAGUUGGGAGGAAGGGCAGUAAGUUAAUACCUUGCUGUUUUGACGGUACCAACAGAAUAAGCACCGGCUAACUUCGUG